CGCGGCCUAUCAGCUUGUUGGUGGGGUGAUGGCCUACCAAGGCGACGACGGGUAGCCGGCCUGAGAGGGUGAUCGGCCACAUUGGGACUGAGAUACGGCCCAGACUCCUACGGGAGGCAGCAGUGGGGAAUAUUGCACAACGGGCGGAAGCCUGAUGCAGCGACGCCGCGUGAGGGAUGACGGCCUUCGGGUUGUAAACCUCUUUCAGCAGGGACGAAGCGUAAGUGACGGUACCUGCAGAAGAAGCACCGGCUAACUACGUGCCAGCAGCCGCGGUAAUACGUAGGGUGCGAGCGUUGUCCGGAAUUACUGGGCGUAAGGGGCGCGUAGGCGGUCGCGUAAGUCGGGUGUGAAAUUCCGGGGCUCAACCCCGUGAACUGCACCCGAUACUGCGUGACUAGAGAGAGGUAGGGGCAAGUGGAAUUCCCGGUGUAGCGGUGGAAUGCGUAGAUAUCGGGAAGAACACCCGUGGCGAAGGCGGCUUGCUGGACCUUUUCUGACGCUGAAGCGCGAAAGCGUGGGGAGCAAACAGGAUUAGAUACCCUGGUAGUCCACCCCGUAAACGCUGGGUACUAGGUAUUGGGAGGAUUGACCCUUUCAGUGCCGACGCUAACGCAUUAAGUACCCCGCCUGGGGAGUACGG
rnacentral:rRNA from 1 species